CGCAGCCGCGGUAAUUCCAGCUCCAAUAGCGUAUAUUAAAGUUGUUGCAGUUAAAAGCUCGUAGUUGAAUUUCGGGAUCAAUACGUCGGUCGUGCCUUCGGUACGUACUGGCGUCAUUGGUUUCUCCCUUCUGACGAACCAUGAUGUCAUUAAUUUGGUGUUAUGGGAAGUUAGGACUGUUACUUUGAAAAAUUAGAGUGUUUAAAGCAGGCUAACGCUUGAAUACAUUAGCAUGGAAUAAUGAAAUAGGACGUUUGAUCCUAUUUUGUUGGUUUCUAGGAUCGACGUAAUGAUUAAUAGGGAUAGUUGGGGGCAUUAGUAUUCAAUUGUCAGAGGUGAAAUUCUUGGAUUUAUUGAAGACUAACUACUGCGAAAGCAUUUGCCAAGGAUGUUUUCAUUAAUCAAGAACGAAAGUUAGGGGAUCGAAGACGAUCAGAUACCGUCGUAGUCUUAACCAUAAACUAUGCCGACUAGGGAUCGGAUGAUGUUAAUUUUUUAAUGACUCAUUCGGCGCCUUACG
rnacentral:rRNA from 1 species